UUGACCUCAAAUCAGGUAGGACUACCCGCUGAACUUAAGCAUAUCAAUAAGCGGAGGAAAAGAAACUAACAAGGAUUCCCUUAGUAACUGCGAGUGAAGUGGGAAAAGCUCAAAUUUAAAAUCUGGCAGUCAUUUGGCUGUCCGAGUUGUAAUCUAGAGAAGUGUUGCCCGUGCUGGACCAUGUACAAGUCUCCUGGAAUGGAGCAUCACAGAGGGUGAGAAUCCUGUCUUUGACAUGGACUGCCAGUGCUUUUGUGGUAUGCUCUCAAAGAGUCGAGUUGUUUGGGAAUGCAGCUCAAAAUGGGUGGUAAAUGCCAUCUAAAGCUAAAUAUUGGCGAGAGACCGAUAGUGAACCAGUACCGUGAGGGAAAGAUGAAAAGAACUUUGGAAAGAGAG
rnacentral:rRNA from 1 species